rnacentral:lncRNA from 1 species
UUUGUAUCUUUACUUAGCUUUUACUCUGAUAAUACGAAAAUAUCAAAUUUUCAUAUUAUCUGGUAAUAUCUAAGUAAAGAGGGGCAGUUGUCAACACUCAAUUUCGUCCGGAUGACUAUAAUAGGACUAGUUUUUAUUUUUUUUUUCUUAUUUUAAUUUUAUUUUUAUUUUAUUUUAUUUUUAUUUUAUUUUGUUUAAUUUUUGUUUUACAAUUUAGUAUUUGAUUUAGUUUUUUUUAUUAUUAUUGGAUUUAAUUGCAAAAGGAAAAAAAGGAAAGAAAACAUAAAAAAAAAAGAAAAAAAGAAAAAAAAAAGAAAAAAGAAAAGAAAAAAAAAAGAAAACGAAAAAAAGCGAGAAAGAAAUUAAAAAAAGGAAAAAGUGGGAAUGGAUUUGUCGUUUGUGAAAAAUAAAGGACAACGAGGCCUGAGAAAGGACGACGCGGAUGAGAUGGUGGCAGAAAACGUUGCAAAUUUGGCAGAGGUAUGUUGGGCAGACACGAUUCGGUUUUGCAGGGGGCACAACAGAGGUGGGCGGAAUUGGCAAUUUGCAAAGGAGAUUUGCAGGAGAAGAGGGAGGACAGUGUUACAUUUUCAUUAUUCAUAUUUACAAAGAGAAUACGAGGCAGAA